rnacentral:rRNA from 1 species
AUUGAACGCUGGCGGCAGGCCUAACACAUGCAAGUCGAGCGGAAAAAGGAAGCAGCUUGCUGCUUUGCGGACGAGAGGGGGGCGUGAGAGCAAUGUCUGGGACACGGCCUGAGGGAGGGGGUUAACUACUGGAAACGGAAGCUAAAACCGCAUAAAGUCGCAAGACCAAGGAGGGGGAGACUCGGGCCUCUUGGCUGCGGAUGUGCCCAGGUGGGAUUAGCUUGUUGGUGGGGUAACGGCUGACCAAGGCGACGAUCCCUAGCUGGUCUGAGAGGAUGAUCAGCCACACUGGAACUGAGACACGGUCCAGACUCCUACGGGAGGCAGCAGUGGGGAAUAUUGCACAAUGGGCGCAAGCCUGAUGCAGCCAUGCCGCGUGUGUGAAGAAGGUCUUCGGGUUGUAAAGUACUUUCAGUGGGGAGGAAGGGAAUUAAGUUAAUACCUUUACUCAUUGACGUUACCCACAGAAGAAGCACCGGCUAACUCCGUG